CGGAGGAUCCGAGCGUUAUCCGGAUUUAUUGGGUUUAAAGGGUGCGUAGGCGGGAUAGUAAGUCAGUGGUGAAAGCCCGCAGCUCAACUGCGGAACUGCCAUUGAUACUGCUAACCUUGAGUAUGUAUGAUGUGGGCGGAAUGUGCAGUGUAGCGGUGAAAUGCUUAGAUAUUGCACAGAACACCGAUUGCGAAGGCAGCUCACAAAACCAUAACUGACGCUGAGGCACGAAAGCGUGGGGAUCAAGCAGGAUUAGAUACCCUGGUAGUCCACGCCUUAAACGUUGAAUACUCGAUGUGUGCGAUAUACUGUACGCGUCUAAGCGAAAGUGAUAAGUAUUCCACCUGGGGAGUACGCUCGCAAGAGUG
rnacentral:rRNA from 1 species